GGAGCGAAUCCAUAUCACGGCAAAGAAGAUGAAGAAGAGAGCAAUAGCAGCAGCAGCAAAAUCCCCCGAAGAAAAAGACCUGACGACAUCUCCUCUCCCGUUCGCAACUCCUCUUUUCACUCCCAACCUCUUUGACUUCAAAAGCAAAGGAUUUGCCACCUCCUCCAGUAAGAAAUGUCUAGCUUUAGCCUCCACCCGUCCAACCAAAUCUUCGCCUCAGAAAACCCUAACUAAGAUAUCUGAUCUGAGAGAUCUUGUAUCUUCACGCACUGAUUCCAUCAAGCGCCAUCUCGAUCUAUCCCAUGCCGAGAUUCUUAAGGAUAUCGAAGCUUCUCACUCGAGACUCUCCAAAAGAUUCAAGAUUCAAACACAAGCAUGUCAACAAGUGAUGGAUGAGGCUGAGAAGGAAUAUAAGAAAAUCUAUGAUCGGAUAGGUGAAAGUGCACAAGCAAUGGAGGCUUCAUAUGGAGAGUUCAUAAAGGAGGUACAGGCCACAACAUCACGUGCUUGCAAAAUAUCAAUCCCUGAGCUUAUGCAAUCUGCGGAGAAAAGCAUUGAAUCUCUAAGAAGCCGCUAUGGGAUUCCCUUAACUUCUGGAUAACCCAUACUAACAUCGAUCUUUCAGUUGCACUUGAAAGAAAGAAAGAUUUUAUAACCAGCUUUAUAUCCAAAACGAUGAUAUCUGGAGAAGCAGUCGGCCUUACCUUUUACUGGGAAGUCCAAUCUGGUAAUUGGAAACAAUGGAUUGAUCAAAUAUUGUCAUUACUGAUUUUUGGUUGUUAAAUUCUGAGGGAAGACAUUGUCUUGUGAGUUUAUACCCUGCCAUGCCAUUUUUUGAUACAGUAGAAGAAAAGCUUCUAUUUCAUCUAUGAACCAUCUUUUAUGAUACUGUUCAUUUUCUGUCA